CGGGCAUGCCGGCAGCUUACACAUGCAAGUCGAGCGGUAACAGGGGAAGCUUGCUUCCCGCUGACGAGCGGCGGACGGGUGAGUAAUGCUUAGGAAUCUGCCCAGUAGUGGGGGAUAGCCCGGGGAAACCCGGAUUAAUACCGCAUACGUCCUACGGGAGAAAGCAGGGGAUCUUCGGACCUUGCGCUAUUGGAUGAGCCUAAGUCGGAUUAGCUAGUUGGUGGGGUAAGGGCCUACCAAGGCGACGAUCCGUAGCUGGUCUGAGAGGAUGAUCAGCCACAUCGGGACUGAGACACGGCCCGAACUCCUACGGGAGGCAGCAGUGGGGAAUAUUGGACAAUGGGGGCAACCCUGAUCCAGCCAUGCCGCGUGUGUGAAGAAGGCUUUCGGGUUGUAAAGCACUUUCAGUAGGGAGGAAAACCUUAUGGCUAAUACCCAUGAGGCUUGACGUUACCUACAGAAGAAGCACCGGCUAACUCCGUGCCAGCAGCCGCGGUAAU
rnacentral:rRNA from 1 species